CGACUGUAAUUGUACGCAUUUUGAAUCCCCAUCACUAGAGUCUGAUGGCUACAGACUUCACCUGACUGGAUUCACUGAUGGAGGGGCAAGAGACUCUCUGAGUCACAUCAGUGGACAGAAGUUCUCGACAUUCGACAAAGAUCAGGACACCUGGGAGAACAACUGCGCCCGAUCGUUCCUUGCAGGGUUCUGGUACUCCGAUUGUCACAGUGCGAACCCAAACGGCGUGUACCUCUGGGGGGCCGACAGCACUCUCUAUGCCAUCGGAGUGGAGUGGAUUUCCUGGAAGGGCAGGGGCUACUCCCUGAAGGCCAUCAGCAUGAAGAUCCGUCCAGUGCAGUGAACUGGGACGGGAUUUGAGCGUCAUCAGAAGUUUCCAUGAACCCAGAAAGGGAUUUCCAGCGAUUCCACAGGAUGAGAUAACAGAAGCUCCAACAAAUACUGGAGAAAUGGUGUGAGGCAGCUCAGAAUUGUCCCACUCAGGCAUUGAACUCAGAAGGAGUUCAGAUCCCCUGAAUCAGCAACUCCAAUAGGUUUAAAAAGCUGCAGUAUCCCCAUUCAUCCAUCAGAUGUCGCUAUUCCACCUGUCAGAAUUUCUUCUGUUUCUCUCAGUAAAACUACUUUGAUUCGUGAGCUAAAUAAUGUUUACUGAAGAAAUAGGAUCAUGUUAUCUGAUAAUUCUUUUAACAUUCUAUAUGUAGUCCAGAUGUGAAAAAACU